UGUACUAUUUUUGGAAAUUAUGUUGAUGAACUAAAUGCAUUUCUUACAUCUGGAAAAGUACAAAAUGUUGUAGUUAUAGUACAAUUAGCAAAAGUGAAAAGUUGGAAAGGUAUAAAGUUAUUCUUUUGCAUUUUUAAUUGAACAAAAUUGAAUAAUGUAUAAACUAAUGCUAUUUGUUGUAGACCAAAUACACUUGCAAAACUGUAUAAAUUAUACAAAGCUGAUUUUCAGGGCAGAAUGUGAGGAAGCUGUAAAUCUAGCAAAAAGGAUGUUUGAAAAUAUGGAGUACGUCACCUACACAGGAUUUGAGCCAACUCUCUGCAAAGGUAUCAACGUCGCAAGAGUUCUUGGAUUCUUCUAACAAAACAACCUUAUAAGGUCUCAAAGAUGGAAACGAGGAUAUAUGUUAUGUGGUAUUUGGUACCAUAAAUAACAUUGUUGAAGAAGAAGACUGGUCGUAUAUUGCCUGCAACUAUGCAAGGGUCGUUUAUCCAUACUCUAAGAUGUUUUUUCUGUGAUAAGUGCAACAAACAUAUCAUGAAUGUUUAUUUAAGGUUGCCAUUUUAAUUGAAAUAUGUGUAUAUCAAUACAUGAACAUGUACCACAUCAAAGUAAGGGUGAUUGAUGAUACGGAUUCAUCCACUUUUGUUAUCUUUGAUCGUGAUGCCACUAUUCUACUCAAUAAAUCAUGUAGUGAACUUUUUGAGCAACGUGAAAAGCAAGGUUCUGUGGGAGCUGUUCCAAAGGAUAUUUAUGAUUUGGUAGGAAAGAUUUUUCUCUUCAAGGUUGAGUCAAAAAUAGCACUAAUCCAAAAUUUGGACAAUCUUUUAGAGUUAAGAAAAUUUGUCCUGAUAUGUGUAUAAUCAAGAAGUUUAAGGAAGCUACAUCUGAUUAUAAUUUUAAGGACUCACAAAGGGAAGAUGCAUCCACUAAUUUCCACCAGAUGGAUGAGAAAGAAACCACAUAUUUGUCCAAUGAUGUUGAAGAAUCUCCAGAUCUAAAACAAGAACUAUCCCAUAAUACUAAUUAUGAAGGAUUUAAAAUGUUGAAGAAUUCAUCUAGUAUAAUUCCAUCUGAAUGUGGUUCUACAACUCAGAAGAAGGAAAAAAUGACAAUGAUGUUGUUACAAAGCAGAUGGUUUUAGAGACUGGUGUGCUGCAAAUUGAUGAAGUUAAGGGCUCUAUUGAUGCAAAUGAAAUGAAACCUCCAGAUAUCACUGUUCCACUCAAGUUGUUGAAGAAGA